UUCAUAUUUUCCAGCAGCUUUCUUGAACUUGAUUUGUUGUAUGUAUGUAAACUUAUAUGCUUAGAAUAAUAAGAAAGCUCAAGAAAGCUGUGGGAAAACAUGGA
rnacentral:pre_miRNA from 1 species